rnacentral:rRNA from 1 species
CACGCCGUAAACGAUGAUUACUCGAUGUUUACGAUACACAGUCAGCGCCUUAGGGAAACCAAUAAGUAAUCCACCUGGGGAGUACGAUCGCAAGAUUGAAACUCAAAGGAAUUGACGGGGGCCCGCACAAGCGGAGGAGCAUGUGGUUUAAUUCGAUGAUACGCGAGGAACCUUACCUGGGCUAGAACGUAGAAUGACUAUAGGAGAAAUCUUAUAUCCCUUCGGGGCAGUCUACGAGGUGCUGCAUGGUUGUCGUCAGCUCGUGCCGUGAGGUGUCGGGUUAAGUCCCAUAACGAGCGCAACCCCUAUCUUUAGUUGCCAACAGGUCAAGCUGGGGACUCUAAAGAAACUGCCUACGCAAGUAGU